rnacentral:rRNA from 1 species
GGAUACCGCUUUCACGUUGGAAAAACGGAAAGCUGGAAACGGUCCGCCGCCGGAGGACGUGACUGCGGCCGAUUAGGUAGACGGUGGGGUAACGGCCCACCGUGCCAAUAAUCGGUACGGGUUGUGAGAGCAAGAGCCCGGAGACGGAAUCUGAGACAAGAUUCCGGGCCCUACGGGGCGCAGCAGCCGCGAAACCUUUACACUGCACGACAGUGCGAUAAGGGGAUCCCGAGUGCGAGGGCAUACAGUCCUCGCUUUUCGUGACCGUAAGGUGGUCACAGAAUAAGGGCUGGGCAAGACCGGUGCCAGCCGCCGCGGUAAUACCGGCAGCCCGAGUGAUAGCCAAUUUUAUUGGGCCUAAAGCGUCCGUAGCCGGCCGAACGGGUCCGUCGGGAAAUCCACCCGCUUAACGGGUGGGCGUCCGGCGGAAACCAGUCGGCUUGGGGCCGGGAGACCAGAGGGGUACGUCCGGGGUAGGAGUGAAAUCCUGUAAUCCUGGACGGACCACCGGUUGCGAAAGCGCCUCUGGAGAACGGACCCGACGGUGAGGGACGAAAGCUAGGGUCUCGAACCGGAUUAGAUACCCGGGUAGUCCUAGCCGUAAACGAUGCUCGCUAGGUGUGACGCAGGCUACGAGCCUGCGUUGCGCCGUAGGGAAGCCGAGAAGCGAGCCGCCUGGGAAGUACGUCCGCAAGGAUGAAACUUAAAGGAAUUGGCGGGGGAGCACUACAACCGGAGGAGCCUGCGGUUUAAUUGGACUCAACGCCGGACAUCUCACCGGCACCGACAACGUGCAGU